UUCGUACUUGUCAUCAAGAAGUCCCUCCUUUGACUUUAGUCUGACCAGUUGGUAACCAUCCAGCAACGGCCUCUCAUAAACAUCCCCGGCCAUCGCUGCGGUCCCCCGGUCCCCCGAUGGCCAACUCUACCGUCGUGUCGCAAGAUAAUCCCAAUGUGACUAUCAAGAACGAUGGUGAGACAAACAGCAGCCAUGACCUCACGGCGUUUGCCCUGGUGCCGACCUUCUUCCUCCUUGGUCUGAUUGGAGUCAUCAUCUGCCAUGUGUUGAAGAAGAAGGGCUACCGCUGCACCACAGAGGCCGAGGAGGAACACAAAUUCGAGGAGCAUCAGUGUGAUAUGCUGGAGCAAGAUCUGGAGAUGGGAGAGUUCAACGACACCUUCAGUGAAAACAAUGACACCGUUGGGCAGAUCGUCCACUACAUUAUGAAAAAUGAAGCCAACUCUGAUGCCCUAAAAGCCAUGAUUCAUGAAAACAGCAUUGACUCAGAUGGGACUCCCAUGACGCCCAUCUCUCCGAACAGCCCGACCCCACCUUUGACCCCCAUAUCGCCUGGUGCUCCCCCGGGUGCCCCCAAACACACCUGCAACCACCUGCACACCAUCGGAGGGAUGGGUGGGCACAAAAACAUCUGCACGCGCUGCAGCCAGAAAAAAUGGCCGCUCAUGAGAAAACCCUCCGCCCGCAAAACAGAGCAAAGACGAAGCCACUGCGGAGAAGUUACUGUGUUAGCUGUGGGCAGGUUCCGAGUUACAAAAACAGUGUGUGAUAAACCAGUAAGAAGGACCCUGCUCUUAUCUGAACCCACGCCCACAACGCCCACGGAGGCAGAGCCAAGGAGCAGGACCAUGUCAGAGUGCCAACAGUCGCCGACAGACCGUACGGGCAAAGAUAAAUUAUAAUCCAGUUUCCCCGUGGACAUUUGACACCAGAUUUUAUCGUCAGCGUGGGAGGAAAUGGUAAAUAUCACUCCAGGAAGUGCUGAAGGAGAAGUCCGCUCGGGGAAGUACAGUUCUUUUAGUGAAUCACGUGUAUUUGAAUGUGAAACUCAGAACUCGUGCCUUAAACCUGGCGUCUGCGCUUGAUGGUCUUUUAAUUCAAUAAUACAGUGGCCUGAGUACAUAUGGAUAAAAUCUUUUAUAUCAAUGCAUGCCUGUCACGAUAACAAAAUUUGAAGUGCGAUAUAUUGCUGAAGUAAAUAUAGAUGUUAAACAGUGAUAUUGACCCAAAGCAAAAAGCUCAAUUUCCCCCAAAAAAGUAUUCUAAAUGUACAAAAUUGUUAACAAAUACGAGCUGCAAUGAAUAACACUUAAGUAGUUUGUAUUUGUCCAGUUCAUUAUUUGACCCUCUACAGUGGUACACAUAAAUAUCCAAAUAUUCUCCACUAGUACAAAGAAAAAGUACCCGCCUUAAAUAUUGAUCCCCCAAAAUGAUUGUUCCAUAUGUUAUGUAUUGAACAAUAAGUAUAGCAUUAUUGUGACAUGCCUACAUGUUAUUAUGAGGUUUGUUUUUAAAAAAUAUACAUAGACAACAAGGGAGGAGGCACAUCCUUGUCAAAUGAAAUUAAAUAAACAAAAAAAGUAUAUCAUCUGAUAAACUGCCAAAGAUAAGACCAAGUAAGAAUUGUGGAAAAGUGAAUGUUUUUUGUGUUUCAAUUCAGAGGGAUAUAAUACUUUUUUAAUAUUGACAUAUAAAAUUGCACCAUUGGCAUAAUUGCAUAUUGCACUUUUUUAUCAAAUUCAAGGGAGCCUCCUUUUGUUUCACUAACAGCACUAACAAAUUGCAGUGUUUUUUUUUUAUUUUUUUAUCAGCUACUACCAAACAUUAGCGUUGCUGCAAAAUACUAAGGAAACAUACGCACCAAAAAUAAUCAAAAUUGUCUGCUGCCCAUUAUGUGCAUCGCUGCUUUACGCAACAAUAAGCAACAGGUUCAGACACAGUAAAGAACAGUGUAGGAAAUAUGCCUAAUAAGAAUAGAUGGAGAGCCAAGGAAUACACUUCUGUUCUGCAAAAUCUGAACUGCUAAAACUGCCAAAGAUAACUGAGCAUCGACCCAUUUUAUAAUGUGCUGCCUGCAUCAUUAUGUCUUAAUAUAAUUUUAUAUGAUGAGCUGUGAGGAGCUGAAAGGCCAAAAAGUGUUUACACUGUCACUAGAUGUUACAUGUAAAAUAUUGUUGGAUAGUUACAUCUCCACAUCUUGCAUGAAUGUGUUCGUAAAAAAACAAAAAACUAC